rnacentral:rRNA from 1 species
AUUGAACGCUGGCGGCAGGCCUAACACAUGCAAGUCGAGCGAGCGGCGGACGCGUGAGUAAUGUCUGGGAAACUGCCUGAUGGAGGGGGAUAACUACUGGAAACGGUAGCUAAUACCGCAUACCAUCAGAUGUGCCCCGAUGGGCUUAUCUAGUGGGUGGGGUGACGGCUCACCGAGGCGACGAUCCCUAGCUGGUGUGAGAGGAUGACCAGCCACACUGGAACUGAGAAACGGUCCAGACUCCUACGGGAGGCAGCAGUGGGGAAUAUUGCACAAUGGGCGCAAGCCUGAUGCAGCCAUGCCGCGUGUGUGAAGAAGGCCUUCGGGUUGUAAAGUACUUUCAGCGGGGAGGCGUUACCUGCAGAAGAAGCACCGGCUAACUCCGUGCCAGCAGCCGCGGUAAUUC